rnacentral:rRNA from 1 species
GUUCUUCGGGACCAGAGACCGGCGCACGGGUGCGUAACGCGUAUGCAAUCUACCUUUUACAGAGGGAUAGCCCAGAGAAAUUUGGAUUAAUACCUCAUAGUAUAACAUGACCGCAUGGUCGAGUUAUUAAAGUCACAACGGUAAAAGAUGAGCAUGCGUCCCAUUAGCUAGUUGGUAAGGUAACGGCUUACCAAGGCUACGAUGGGUAGGGGUCCUGAGAGGGAGAUCCCCCACACUGGUACUGAGACACGGACCAGACUCCUACGGGAGGCAGCAGUGAGGAAUAUUGGACAAUGGGCGCAAGCCUGAUCCAGCCAUGCCGCGUGCAGGAUGACGGUCCUAUGGAUUGUAAACUGCUUUUAUACGAGAAGAAACACUGAUUCGUGAAUCAGCUUGACGGUAUCGUAAGAAUAAGGAUCGGCUAACUCCGUGCCAGCAGCCGCGGUAAUACGGAGGAUCCAAGCGUUAUCCGGAAUCAUUGGGUUUAAAGGGUCCGUAGGCGGUUUGGUAAGUCAGUGGUGAAAGCCCAUCGCUCAACGGUGGAACGGCCAUUGAUACUGCCAGACUUGAAUUAUUAGGAAGUAACUAGAAUAUGUAGUGUAGCGGUGAAAUGCUUAGAGAUUACAUGGAAUACCAAUUGCGAAGGCAGGUUACUACUAAUGGAUUGACGCUGAUGGACGAAAGCGUGGGUAGCGAACAGGAUUAGAUACCCUGGUAGUCCACGCCGUAAACGAUGGAUACUAGCUGUUGGAAGCA